UUUGAUCCUGGCUCAGAACGAACGCUGGCGGCAAGCUUAACACAUGCAAGUCGAACGGACCGUACGCGCAGCUUGCUGCGUGUAUGGUUAGUGGCAGACGGGUGAGUAAUGCAUAGGAAUCUGCCUAGUAGUAUAGGAUAGCCACUAGAAAUGGUGGGUAAUACUGUAUAAUCCCUGCGGGGGAAAGAUUUAUCGCUACUAGAUGAGCCUAUGUCAGAUUAGCUAGUUGGUGGGGUAAUGGCCCACCAAGGCUGUGAUCUGUAGCUGGUCUGAGAGGAUGAUCAGCCACACUGGAACUGAGACACGGUCCAGACUCCUACGGGAGGCAGCAGUGGGGAAUAUUGGACAAUGGGCGCAAGCCUGAUCCAGCUAUGCCGCGUGAGUGAGGAAGGCCUUAGGGUUGUAAAACUCUU
rnacentral:rRNA from 1 species